rnacentral:rRNA from 1 species
CCAAUAGCGUAUAUUAAAGUUGUUGCAGUUAAAAAGCUCGUAGUUGAAUUUCGGGAUCAAAGAAUCGGUCAUGCCUUGGUAUGUACUGGUUUUAUUGGUUCUCACCUUCUAAAGAACCAUGAUGUCAUUCAUUUGAUGUUAUGGGGAAUUAGGACUGUUACCUUGAAAAAAUUAGAGUGUUUAAAGCAAGCUUACGCUUGAAUACAUUAGCAUGGAAUAAUGAAAUAGGACAUCAGAUUCCAUUUUGUUGGUUUCUAGGAUCGAUGUAAUGAUUAAUAGGGAUAGUUGGGGGCAUUAGUAUUCAAUUGUCAGAGGUGAAAUUCUUGGAUUUAUUGAAGACUAACUACUGCGAAAGCAUUUGCCAAGGAUGUUUUCAUUAAUCAAGAACGAAAGUUAGGGGAUCGAAGACGAUCAGAUACCGUCGUAGUCUUAACCAUAAACUAUGCCGACUAGGGAUCGGAUGAUGUUAAUUUUUUAAUGACUCAUUCGGCACCUUACG